rnacentral:rRNA from 1 species
CAAUAGCGUAUAUUAAAGUUGUUGCAGUUAAAAAGCUCGUAGUUGGAUUUGUGGUGUACUUCGGCGGCCCGUCACUAUGUGAUGGAGCUUGCUGAAGUCGCCAUCCUUGGGUGGAUCCUGUGUGGCAUUAAGUUGUCGUGCAGGGGAUGCUCAUCGUUUACUGUGAAAAAAUUAGAGUGUUCAAAGCAGGCUUACGCCGUUGAAUAUAUUAGCAUGGAAUAAUAAGAUAGGACCUUGGUACUAUUUUGUUGGUUUGCGCACCGAGGUAAUGAUUAACAGGGACAGUUGGGGGUAUUCGUAUUCCAUUGUCAGAGGUGAAAUUCUUGGAUUUCUGGAAGACGAACUACUGCGAAAGCAUUUACCAAGGAUGUUUUCAUUAA